GAUUUGGUUGCUGAAGACUUUAUUGGAUGACCUUAAAAUGCUCUGACAGUUAAGUAAAAUAAGUAAUAAGUAUUUUUAAAUAGUAUGCGUGUUUUUGUAUGUGCAUAGUCGACACUGACAGUCUGCUGAUCUCAAAUUACCAGAGUAUGUAGUGUUACUGGCCUCCAGGGGCAGAUGCUUCAGCCAAGGCUAAGAGGGAAGAAAUCCCUCAUACAGAAAAACAGAAUUUAUAUGAGAUCAGAAUUUUUUCAUUUGCAGGUAUGAUAAGUGUACAGGACCACCGUGUUGGUGCGCCUCAAGACACUGGAGCAAAACCAGCGGCUGAUGUUAAACCUCCUCCAGUCUGUAGCUUCUGCCACAGGGUCAGGAGGGUGUGGUGCCACCUCCAGUAAGCAGCUUGGAGGAGCUGGAUGACCUGUGCACUAAAGUGGCUGAUCAAACUUUCAAAAGAAACUUGGUAAGAAUAAACUGUAUCAUUUUGAACUUGAGAAGGUUUUUGGAUAUUUUGGAUAUAUCAUAUAUGGAUAUAAGAUUAUUUUUGUGCCGAAGAAACAUUUAUUUUAAGGUAUUUAUGGUGCUUCUAUUAUUCAUUGCAACCACUUUUUGUUAUCUUCAGGAGGGCACAGCCUUGGAGACGCUGUUUGCAGGAUUUUUAAAAAGUUGGGCACCAGUGGUGUGUGGUCAUCAUACAGCCUGAAGGGAAAGAAGGAGGAGCUAGCAUUUACUGAGUUUCCCAUCUGCAAAGUUAUCCUCAGAGCAAGCCUGAGAAACUACGCUGAAGCAAAAACAUCUGCGGUGGAGGAUGAAAUUAGUGAGGCCCUAAAGCAUGGUCCUAAAAGGAAAGGUGGCCCAAAAUACAAGGAACCCGAGCCUAAGAAACGUGAGUGUUUUGUACACGAGUCAUCAGAUUCCAUUGACUUGCCUCAGUUGAAACAAGGGCAGACACCAUGGUGUACAGUGCCCAAGGAGAACCCUACGGUAUGAGACCCUCCUCCUCCCAGCUCCACCUCCACAGCACCAUAUCCCUAUCUUUCCACCAUCUUUUCCCACCUGCUUGAUUUGUUUGCUCCCAUGGAAAUGCAAUUGAUCCUCUUCUUGAUAUUAAUUUUAUUUCUAUAUUUCUUCACUGCUACCAUCUGCUAGAGGCCUACAGGCAAUGCUUUCUUCAUCAUGUACUGUAGUCGGUUUCAUUCCAUCUGUCCACUCCUGAAUGUGGAUGUGGCACCUGCACAUAAAUUGUUAGUUCAUGACAGCGUGAAGAUCAACUUUUUAUUUUCAGUGAUAAAUCUGAAUGUUGGUGGACAGAUGAAAUGAAACACUAUGAUUGACAUUUUAUUUUUUAUUUUUUUGUGUGUGUCUGUGUAGGGAGGGUUGUCGGGGGAGAGAUGCUCUUUUCCAAAAUGUUUUCACUUUAAAUGUGCUUUCCCAAAGGCUAACAUCUGUAUUUUCCCUAAUGAGCUUAUGAAUUAGUGGGUUUUGAUGAAGGAUAUAUGUCUGCAGCAAUAAGGAACAGUAGAUAUAAGAAUAUCAGCCAUCCCUUUCCAAAACUUGACCAACUCAUUUCUCUAACACUGUAAGACAUCCAUAGUUAGGCAAUAAUGGAAGUACUUACAUAAGGCCAGAAUUCUGUGAUGCAUCCAUAGUUUAGAAUGUAAAGAAUACAAAAAAGAUAAAUAAAUAAAUAAAUAAAUAAAGAAAGAAAGAAAGAACAUGCAUGCUUUAAUUUUCUUAUUUUAUUUAUUUAUUUAUUUAUUUUAAAUUUUCUUGUUCUUUACUUUUUAAACUUUGGAUGUGUCACAGAAUUUCAGGCUAAUGUAGAAAAUGGUAAACAAGUGAGUUUGGUCAACAGUUUUGGAAAGAGAUGACUGAUACAGGUAACUCUCGAUUACGCAAGUAUUGUGUCCUUGAUGAGGUCGCGUAAAUCAAACAAGAGGUAGGUUUCUAUCGAAAAAUAAAUAUUCACUUCAUUCAGCGGAGAGAGAUCCAUAUCGCCAAGAUAUCCACUCAGGCACUCAGUCUCAGCCUCACUCGUGUGAGGAAGAAAUGAGGGACACCAUGAGCGACUGGAUAGUAUUGGUAUCGGUACCGAGCAGUCUGGUACCAGUACCGUGCCUUAUAGUUGGUACCAUUAGUACCAGUACCUGCCCACCCCUAAUGUUGAGUAGCGUGGCAGCGUGAGUACCGUAUUGUUGUUCAAGUGGUGCGCGGGAAGAACUGAGCUCAGCUGUGUGGCCACGGCGCCGUGUGAGUUCAGUUGCGUGAGACAUCUGGUGGCCACUCCAUAAAAUAUCGCGAAUAAGUGAAAAAAACAUGUAAAGUAAACAUUUGUUUGGAUUUUGGACCCCACGUUAUUUAAAAAAUGCGUAAACAAAACUUGCGUAAAUCGAGUUACCUGUAUAAAAUUUUUCAACCAUAUAUUUAAUAUUGGCCCUUGGUUUUCAAUUAUGAUAUGCCUUCUUUAAAAUCAGGGUAAAGUGUAACAAUUUAUUCUUAAUGAAUACAAUUCUGCAGGCAGUGUAGGUAAGGCUCCUAUGAUCUGGUGGUGAUGUGGCUGAGGCUGGGCUACAGAUAUUACUGGGAGGUCAGUGGGGCUGACCCUGUACCUUGCCGCUUGUGUGCCAGGCCAGGGGGUCACACGCUCAAACACUAUGUCCUGCAAUGUUCUUCUAUUAGUGCCUAUCGCCCACAGGGCCACUGGGACCUGCCUGGGCUGAUGGGCUGGUUCAUUAACAAUAAUGUUCUUUCAGCUGUGCUUAGUGAGUAUCCUGCAUUUGCCCCUAGAUUGUAAUCCAUAUGUACAGUCCCUUAUGUCUGCUCCCUUGACUAAAUCAAGGCCUUUAUUUUUUUUAGCACUUGUCCCCUACCAUUGUAUCUUUUUAGUUUCCUGGUGCUACUUCCACAUGUAUCCUUAGUUGUAUAAUCACACUCUGUACUGCCUGGGGGUUGGGAUGGCAUGCUCCUCCCUUCUCCUUU